AGGGCUCCUACCUAGAUCUGCCAAGUUGUAGCCUUGAUGCUGCCCCAGAAUCAAGCUGAAACUCAAUUCCAGGUUUCUCAAAAAUACACCCUGCCAUUCCUUAUUCCUCACUUCCUGGUCUUGGUGCAUGCUUCUUUCUGAAUGAGAUUCCCAUUCCUUCCCUUCCUGCCUGGCCACCUCCUGCUCAUGCUCUACUAAAUGGGUCCACCAUCACCUCCUCCAGGAAGCUGUCUAGCCUCCCCUGCAUUCCAACAACUUCCUUACACCACCUGCUUCCUCAUUUUCUGAUUGAUGCCUCGGUCAACCGGACACUAAUACUCCUGUACCUAGCGCAAGAUGGGGGCAGGAGCCACAAACAUGAAAGUCCAGGGAGACGCUGUUUUGUAGAGUGCUGUACCCAGGGGGUUCCUGUUCUGCUCAGUUUUGCCUUUUCCCCCGUUUGUCUGAUGAGAUGGGAGAAGAGUCAGGACAAAUGGGGGGCAACCAGGACCUGAAGGGACUAGAGUGAUUACACACAUAAGCGAGAGGUCUGAUUUGGGUGUGGAAGGUCUGCUUUGUGUCUCCAGGACCCCAACGUCCUCAGAACAGCUAACAUACCAGAGCUGGUAUGGCCCUAGAGAUGAUGAAAGCCUGUGUCUUUCCUAGGUAAACUGAGGGGCAGAGAAGUGUAGGCAUCUGCCCAAGGUCACAUAGUUAAGAGGGGGAGGCCACCUUGGGCCAGAAGCUCUGUCUCUCCCUGCUUGACAGGUGUCUUCACCCCGGGAUGGGUUAAUGUCAGGACACCUAUCUUCCUAAUCCUUCCUCCGGGGUCUUAGAUUCCUGGAGGUCCGGCCUGCACUGCCCCCAGUCCCUAGUUGGCCCUCAGAUGGAGCCGACAAUCGCUGAGCGCCCCCUGCAUGGCGCGGCCUGGGCGGCUCUCUAUCGUCCUUCUCCUUGACUCACCUCCAGCCCCGGAGGGCUGGACUCAAGCUCGGCGGACGGGGCGCCUUCUGCACAGCCCAAGCUGCACCACGGCUCGGGCUUGCUCCCGCACUGCGAGGCCGCUCUUCUCCGCGCCCCGGGUGGGGCAGGUCGAGCCGUGUGCGCUAUGCCUUUAAGUCCCAGCGAGAUGAGCUCUGUGAGUCGCAGCCGAGGCUAGCGCGGGACGUCGCCAUCAGCCCGGCUCCGGCCAAGAGCGGAGGGACAGCGGGGACCCUCGCCGCCCACUGCGUGCCGGUAGCUGGGGUUCAGCUAGCGGCAGGCGGUACCCGCUGUGAUGCGGAGAAUGUGAGAGGCAGCGCAGGGCCGUGGGGAGGUGGGCGCGGAAAAGGGCGGCGGCGAGGCAGACGAAGAGACAGCGGGAGAGGCCGGGGACCGGUCGGGGACUGGUGGGGGACAGAGAGCAGGAAGAAAGGAGCAAGAGCACACGCAGGGGCAGGGGUGAGGGGGGAACUGCAGGAACCCGGCCGUGGGGCCCGACUGAGGUUACAAGCUCGGCCACGGUGGGGCAGAGCAUAACGGAGGAGCAGGGACGCCCGCGGGGUGGCCUCUGGGAGUGGCGGGGUACGUGAGGCGCGGUCGACCCAGGAGGGGUCGCGCGGUGAGGACGCUGGGGCAGCCGGGGGCCUCGAUGAGCGCCCCGGGAGGGCGAGAACCCGGAGUGCAGAGCCGGGUGUGCGGCAGCGGGGGUGUGUGCGCGUCCAAGUGUGCGCGUGUGUGCGCGAGUGUGAGCGCACAGGCGGGUGGGAGCGCGCUUUAGGGAUUCUGCUGGCAUCGCAGCGUGGAGAGCAGGAGGCAGGAAUCGGGUGUGCAGGGGAGCGCGGGGCCCUCCCGCGCACACACUGUGCGUGCUCUCCCGUGUACACACACUCACACAUACAUACUCUCUCUCAUACAUACGCACACGCACACACACGCACACACACACACGCACACACGCCCUUCCUGCUUCGCUCGUUGCUGCUACUACCAUCUCGGAGCCGAGCCCUGCAGAGCGGGAACCCAAGCUGGAGCAGGGAUCGGAGGCUAGCCGGGUGAUGCCGGCCCAGAGCAGAGCCGCGCGGGGACGGCGCGCUCCGAUGCCUCCUGUAUCCACAGGCCCUGAGGUACUGGUGCCUAUGGGCAAAAAAGCCCACUGAGCCAGACCCAGGCCGAUCCCAGCCCAGCUGCACCCAACACUACCCAGUCACAGGAGUCCUGCUGAGGAGCUGUGAGCCUGGAGUGAGGCCUGCGAGAGGGAUCCUAAGGCAAUGUCCUGGCUGUCUUGAGUCUGUGGGCCGCAUAGCUUCCUGCCCAACUCUGGGGCUCUGACCCCGUCCAGCCCUGACCAGCCUCAAGCUGAUUCCUGUCCCCACCUGGUCCGGGGGGCUCCUCGUGCUUCAGGACUCAGCCAAGCACUGCAACAGUUACGGUGUCACGUGAGCCUCCCUCUGGGAUCUGGCAUGAAGGAGAAAUGGAUUCUGGAUUUUCCACUCUGGCUUUCCCUGACUUCUCCAGAAUUUAAGAAGCACCCUGAGGCCUCUCUUGCUCAACCUCAGCCCAGAAUCCCUGAGGAUCAAUCCAGAGACCCAAAGACUUCAAGACCUACAAACACCAAGCCCCUUUCCCUGGACACAGACUGGACAGAGCUGACCAGUUCAUCAGAGUCUUGUUGUAUAGCCCCAAAUGGCCCCAAAUUGACACUCUUCCUGCCUUGGGAUCUCUAGUAGCUGGGGUUACAGGUCCCACCAUGCCUGGCCUACUUUGAACAUUAAAUAAGACUAAGGCUCUGGUUCCAUGGCAGAACUGAGAACGCCAGAGUCUGCACAUGCCCUGGAGUCUCAGGGCCAAGGGAGUCUCCCUGUGAAAGUCAGACCGGGGUACCCCCUGGUUGCCACAGAGCCCAGACUGUGGCUUUCCUUGGAGACGUCACGUCACUAGCCUGGUUCAGUCACCACUUUAGGAAAGUCGGUCAACGUCUUUGUCCUUGGUUUCCUUGACAUCUGAGGAUCGGAAGUUCAGGAAGAUUCCGGAACAUCACAGAUGUUUUAAAGGGCCUGGCUCAGAUGAGAAACUAGAGGCUCAGACCUGCAGAGACACUGUCCCUGAAGAUCUGCGGUUGACUCAGUCUGAGUCCUCUCCCAUCACCCGCCGGAAGAGUUGGUCUUCUGCACAGUCAGAAUAGGCUCUCCUCUCCUGACUUCCAACCCCAGCCCCACAUGGUUGCCUUGAUCCUGCCACUGCCUCUGGGAUUCUUCCAGCUGUAUACUGACUCUUCGCCCUGGGGUCUGCUUUAUAGAACUUAGGUUUAAAAGCUCAUAGCAUUUGGUCCCCAGGAUAUGGGUGUCAGAACUGGGAACUAUACAACCAUCAUCUUGAAACUCUAAGGACGCCUCCUUGUGCACAAAAAGGUAAAGCCUCCUUCUAGAUGCUCCCAGUGGCCCCUCACAGCUGGCUGAACUGCCCCCUCCCCCUCCACUUUUCAGAGUCUCUCAUCCUUUAAUCACAAUUAUGGGAACAGUAAAACAUGGCCCGUCUUUGUUGAGUGCUCGCUUUGUGCCAGGCACCAUUAGGAAACAUUUAACAUCCUCAACCACAGCCCUCUAGGUCAGAAUCUAUUAUUACCCUCAUUUCACAACGUUACCAGAGAGCAGAGAUACCAACUCAGUCAUUCAUGGCUGUCCAUCUGAUAGGUGAAGUGGUAGAGUUCUACCCAAGUAUGCCUGGUGCCAGAGCACAAAUUUAGGAGGCCCCCUCAGUGCAGACUCCCUUCUCCUUCUCCAGGAAGCGUGGGCUGUGAUACGAAAGACACCUGCCAAUUUCAAAGCAUCAUUCCUAGACUGCUAUAGCACCCAAGGCUGCUUUCUUCUUGAAUCCCUACUGCCCCAGAGUCCAGUGGCUUGAUCUGGAAGUUGCUCAUGAGGUCUGUAUGGCAAGAGUUUGCUAAGGACAGGGCCGGUCUCCCUUCCUCCAUCACCCACUGUGGGCCAAUUGGAUAUAGAGCCUGGAGGAGGGCUGCAGAGGAGUCCAGCGAGCCCAGGCCCAGACAGCUUUCCCAGGGCUCCCCAUGCCUGGAUACUCUAUUCCAUUCUAAGUUUUCUUUGUACAUGUGGUAGAGAAGGACAAGGGACUUCCUUGACCUCAGACCACCCUUUCCUCUCAAUACCUCCUGCUCCCCAGGGUAUCCCGCUCUUUUAUUCUUUGUCCCCUGGAACCUAGGGACCCUCCAGCAGCCCUUCUCCUGGGAUAAAGGAGAGGAGAGCUGAAGCUGCCAGGAGACCAUGAAGGAUGUGCAGGUCCAGUCCCUUAGUGUACAGAUGAGGGUAGAGGUGAGGUUUGAACCCUGGGUCCUGAAUCUUCUCAUUGCUCCUGGAGACUCUGCUUCAGUCCACGGACUUGGAAUCUCUUAGGGCUGUAGACACAUUUGAGAGUCUGGAGGAAACCCCUAAUACUAAUGAAUGAAGGCACAAAGGAGGAGGCCCUAGAGUCUGUCUGUGCCUUGGCCUCAAAGCUCGGAGCCUGUGGCCUAGGCAUCCCUGACUCUCCAAUGCUAGUCUAUUUCCUAAAAGCUGCUUCUUGCUGACAUCUGGGACUCCCUGGACAGACAGCUUAGCCAAUCAGUGAGCUUCCGGCUCAGUGACAGCCCCUGCCUGGAAAAAAAAAAUGGAAUGUGACUGAAGAAGACACAUUAACCUCUGGACUCUACAUACAUGUGUACACAUAAAGGUCUUGAGCAACAUCAUCCAAGGCUGUCCUCUGACCUUAACAUGCAUUCAUGCACUCAUACGCACACACAAACAAGAGCACAUGUACAAAAGGAUAUUCCCAAGGAUCCUUUGUAUAAUAGCAAAAUACCAGAAACUGCCCAUCUCCCAUCAAUACGGGAAUUGUUUAAAGAACUAAGGAAUACUUUGAAGCAGCUAAAAGGGGUAAAAAAAAUUAAUUUCUAUCAUGAAAGACUCCCCCAAACUUAUGGGGAGAAGCAAAUUCCAGAAUGAGUUCUAUGAAGUAGUAUUCUAUUUAAGUCAUUUUUUUUUUUGAAAAAAUGACAGUUUGGGCCAGGUGUGGUAGCUCAUACCUUUAACUCCAGCACCCCAGAGGCAGAGGCAAAGAUCUCUGUGAAUUCCAGGUCAGCCUAGACAGGGUCUUCAUAGUAAGACCUUGUCUCAAAAACAAAACAAAACAACAACAAAACGCAGCUCUGUCCACAUGCAGAUAUUUGGCUCACUCUGCAAGGGGUGGAACCGACUUUGAGGUAUCCAGCACAGAGCUAACAAUAGGAGUGUGGCUGCUCAGGGGAGGGAACCUGUGUCGUAGGGUGGCAGGCUGCUUGAGUUUUGUGGUGAAAACAAUAAGCAUGGUAAUCCUUGAGUACGUUCCAACUACCCAAAUACAAAAGUAAGUACCUUCUCCCCUCCACACCUCUGAAGGCUGCAUAGGGGUGAGGAAGGCCCGUGCAGUGUAUUCUGACUGGCUCCUCCUGGCUGUCCCUCCCCUGCCCCACCACAGCCAAGCUCAUUUGGUCUUGGCUGCCCUGGCUCUGCCCUCAGGGUUAUGGAGCUGUCAGCUUGGUUUUCACAACCCUCCAUCAACGGGGCGGGUGGCCAUCCCUCAAUCCCGAUCAAACUGGAUGCCGUCAGCUUUGUAACAUCCGCUCCCUCGGGCCCCAGCGAGAAGCCAUGAGGUAGGGACAAGUUCCAAAGAUGCCCAGGCUCUCAGGCCACAGCUUCCUCGGCUCCAGGAAACAGCUCCCCGAACAACAAGCAGGAAGAAGGAACCCAAUCCAGCGCUGCCUUGUGCCUGGACAUGUUGGAGAGACAGAGAGCCCUGUGGAACCCUGGGAGCGAGGUCAGAGAUUAGCCGAACUUCCCACUCUGGAUAUCAGCUGACAGGCUCAGGGAAGGAUACUGACUUCCCCAAAUCCCUCCAGUGAGUCUGUGCGGCACUUCUGCCCACCCCAAAGCUCCCACAGAGAGGUUUGGCCUCGGUGUCCUUUCUCACCAGCCUCCCAUGGCAGAAAAUUCAAGAACCAUCUACAAGAAGCUGACAGGGCAGGAAUAGCCAGGCCCAAGGGGCCAGAAGCAAGCCAAAAAGGCUCACAUCUCGGUCAGUCAUCAGUGGCCCAGGGAAAAUAUUGACCUUCUAGCUCCUAAUGCCAAAUUCCAUGAAAGCUACAACUCCAGACUGAGAAAAUCCACCAGGGUUUCAUAAAUAUUUGAAAGUGUCCUAUUGAUUAUCAUCCUGUUAGGGCUGCAGCCCUGGGUUUGAGGGUGGGCAGGGACAGAAGGCUGGGCCCUCCCCAUACCACAAGAUCCCCCAAAUCAUUUAGUCAUCCAUUCAGAAUCUGUUCAUGUUUGUAUCCACAGGAAGCCCAGGAAGGCUUAGACUGGGAAGGAGUGGCUGGUGAGGGAUGUGGGGGAGAAAGAUUUCUUGCUUUAUUCUCGGCUAGCUUUUCAAAUUUUUUAAACAUAUAAACAUGUUCUCUUUUCAAAAUAAUAAAUAAAACGUUUAAACUGCUCCUGGGGCAACCAUCUCCCCAUUCCUGUUUAGAUACAUCAAGGAGAUGACAAAAUAGGAAAUUGGACUCUGCCGAGGGGUAUCCAGCUGGGGCCAGGGGUGAUCCAGUUGUCUGCACCAACUACUGUGUCAGCAUUUGUCUGUGACUGUUUAUACUUGUCAUCCUAAGAGUUCUGAGAUGCCCAGGGCUCAUAUGAGCAUAACUGCUAAAUGACGCUGAGCGGGUUUGGGACAGGCUCUGUGCACUGCAUACACGGAACAAUGACAGGUCAUGGGGUGUAUUUGGGGGCGGUGGGGUCGAAGCCCUGCUUUCUGCCAAUGUGCCGGGUCUCUUAAGGCCGAGGAGAGGGUUUUCAGGCCCUACCAUGCUGCUGAGGUGACCUUCUAAGUGGCCAAGGGUUGCUGCCCUCACCUUAGGUGUUUGCUGAAGUAGUGGCUCCCUCAGCAGCCUUGAGCUAGCAUGGUUAGUGUUCCAGGAGCUUUUCCUCUUUAGGUCCCAAAACCUCAGGCUUCUGCCCCAACGUAACCCAACUUCUCAACAGCUACUGUGUACAGCAGGCUUCCUGAACAGCCCAAUAAACAUGAAGGAAGACUGUGGAGGCGUUGCCAUGCUGAGGCCCCCAGAGAGCACCUGGAACUCAGCCCCCGGAUAGUGGUUACAAGUUCAGCUGCAGGAUCACGAGGACAGAGGAGCUGUGCACACAAAUCUUCACAUCUGUACCUGCACAUCUGUGUGUACACAUGUGACACAUGAACACAUCAUUUUUUUAAAAGAUUUAUUUAUUUAUUAUGUAUACAGCGAUCUACCUGCAUGUACGCCUGCAUGCCAGAAGAGGGCACCAGAUCUCAUUAUAGGUGGAUGUGAGCCACCAUGUGGUUGCUGGGAAUUGAACUCAGGACCUCUGGAAGGGCAGCCAGUGCUCUUAACCUCUGAGCCAUCUCUCCAGUCCUUAAGGGUUGUUUUUAAUUUUAAAGAUUUGCUUAUUUUUUUUAUUUGUGUGAGUAUUUUGUGUGCAUGUACAUGUGUGUACCACUCAUGUGCCUGGUGUCUACAGAGGUCAGAAGAAGGCAUCUAAUCCCCUGGAACUGGAGUUUUGGGUGGCUGUGAACCAUUAUGUGAGUGCUGGGACUCAAACUUGGGUCAUCUGGGAAGGAAGCCAAUGCUUUAACUGCUGAGCCAUCUCUCCAGCCCCCGUCGGAGGGGUUUUGUUAUUGUUUCUCGUUAUUGUUGUUUAGAGACAGUCUCAUUGUGUAACUCAGGUUGGUCGUGGAACUUGGGAUAACCUUGAGCUCCUAUCUUAGCUCUCAGAGCACUGACAUUACAAAUGUGUUGCCGCCAUGCUCAACUUGUGCAUGUUUUUACUGUGUGCUCUGACAUGCACAGGGGUGUGAAACAUACAUGUCCUCCAACAUACGCUGGUGGACAAACAGUGGGGUGCAGGAAGGUUUGGAGUUGGAGGGGCUUAGCUACCUCCCAGGGUCCAAGAAUCAUCAGACAGGGAACCCCUAGCCAUCAGAGUUGGGGAUCCUGGUAAACCUUGUCCUCGUGUUUCCCAGCUCCACCUGCACCCCAGGUUUCUUAAGGCAGAAGAAAGGGGAAAUUUGGUGCCUGUGUUCUUACUUCUAGCACAUGCUCUUCAUACAUAUCCCCUCAUAUUAUAGUGUAGAUGGAGGAAUCAGUCAUACAUGUGGUACAGACACCCCAGGGUAGUUAUGACAUGGGUAGAAAGAGCCACCUCUGUGUCUGUCAGCUUCUCAAGGGGUCGGAUCACACCCUGACAGUGUCUACUCAAAAGACUCCAGUGAGUGAGACCCAACUAGGUAAACACUUGACACCUCUGUUUCAUCCUCUUGACCAGCUGUGACAGGAUUUUUGAUUCUAAUUAGUGAUGUCACAGAGUCGCAUUCAGUCCCAGAGUGAAGCUGGGAGUUACACAUUUCCAAACACCUCUCGUUACUCUUAGACAGCCUUGACAAUUCUCACGGCCUCAGGUGCCCUCUGUGUCUCAAGUGCCCCAAAGCUGCCCAUCCUGUAGGAAAUGCAUCUCCAUCAGACACCCAGACACGCCACACCCCUGCACUCCGUGUCCCAGUCCUACCUGCCUUUGCCUGUUCCUGCCUACACUAUGCCUGCCCUUUCCAAGGCCAACGGAGCACCUUCCAGGGCCACAGCCUCAGCCUCCCUGCUUCUUCUACAAGCUUCCCCUCCCCGACCCCCGGCCACUCAGGAAAUCCUCCCCAAACCCGGAAUCAGCUCUCCCUCUACUACAGCCUUCCUCUGACUCUUCUUGUCCUUUCCUGGCCCCCAGGGGUGGCCUACCACACCUGCAUGUCUCUCCAGGCCAGUUUAUACCCCAGCCCCAGCUCCCAGGGUAGCACUGGCCUUCCUGCCGCUUCAGGGCCUUUUGCCCAUGAGUUCCCUCAGCUUGACUUUCCUUCCCCGCCUCCACCCCCGAAGGCUUUCCUAAAAUUCCCAUCUGACCAUUUCUUGCUCAUUCUGUUUUUUUUUUUUCUUUUCCUAACCUGUUGUAUAUUUAUUAAUUUCUUUUUUGUAAAGGCUUUCUAUGGCUUAUUUCUGGCAUCUAACAAAGGUGUAUUACAGAGCACUUUUAAGAAGUUUAAAGAUUUAAGUGUGUGCAUGUUUGGCCUACAUGUAUGUCUGUGCACCGUGUGCAUGCCUGGUGUCUGUGGAACCAAAGAAGGGCGUCAGAUCCCCUGGAACUGGAGUUACAAAAGAUUAUGGGCACCAUGUGGGUGCUGGGAACUGAGCCCAGGUCCCCUGCCAGAGCAUCCAGUGCUCUUAACUGCUGAGUCAUCUCUCUAAGCUCCGUUUUUAAGUCAUUUAAAGCAGUAUUGAGCUAUACGUUUAUGGAACCAAGAUCUCAAACUUUUGUUUUGUUAAUGUGCAUUGGUGUUUUGCAGGUGUGCAUGUGUAUGAGGGUGUCGGGUCUCCUGGAACUGCAGUUACAGACAGGUGUGAGCCGCCAUGUGGGUGCUGGGAAUUGAACCCAGGAAGAGCAAUCAGUGCUCUUAACUCCGGAGCCAUCUCUCCAGCUUCUAAGAUUUCAAACUUAUAACCACAUUUUAUUAAUAGUCAAUAAAAGAGAAUCAAAUCUGGAUUCCUGUAAGUUACCUUGAGAAACUGCUGUCCUGACUGACACCUGUCCAUCAUUAGGCAACUUUUGGACAUGGCCACCCAUGUCUUUCUAACCAAUCGAGUGACUUACCGUUUAGUGCAUAUUUUCCUGUAACUAAUCAUUCAGGGUAUUGUUCUGUUUUGUUUGUAUGUUUAUCCCUGUGUUUCUUUUUUCUAUUCUCUGUCUCCUGCGCCAAAUGUCAGUCCUGCAAAAGAUCAACGUCUGCGUUUCACUGACCACUCAAAAGACAAAAGUGCCUGACACAGUAGCUGCUCAUUAAAUGAAUAAAUGAAGGAUAGCCUAGCGGUUAACUUACCAUCGCUCCCUAGUGAGAGAGAGAAGACUGUAGGUACCUCACCCACAGGAAAAAGGAAAUUAAGAUGGGGAGGGCAGUUUGGCUCUCCAAAGACUAGGCUAGCCCAAUCCAGAACCUGGCUAGAGGGAGCCAAGUGGUGAGAAAGGGCCCUGGGUUAGCCCUGCAGGCAGGCAGCAGAAGCAUGCAAAGGGCCCGGUGCCCGUCACGUGCCCGUCACGUGCCCUUGUGCAUGGGUAGGGGGAAGAGAAUGACACGCACAUGCGCCUGAGGGAUGCUGCCGGCUCAUUGCUGUAGAUUUGUAUUCCUGCCGACUUUUAUUUCAGGCCUUGUUUAUUUCUCCUUAAAACGCGGCUGCUGUGCCAAGAGUCGUACCCGAAUUAGCUGCGAGUGUGUAAUUUUACAGCUAUUACCCGGGUGUUUCUGUGACUUGGAUAAUAAUGAGAGAAAUAUAAACAAACAACAGCUCGGUGGUUUAGCAGGGAGGCCUCGGAGCUGCACGUGUAGGCUUCCAAGGGGAGGAGUCCCCCCCUUCCCUGGCCUCCUUUCUACCCACCCCCACCUGGUCACGUCAGCCCCAGAAACAGGGUGUCGGCUGGGUAGGUCAUGGAGCACUGGCCCCAAGAUGUUUGUGCCCCCAGAGGGACAGUGCCCACCCACAGCCAUCCUCCUCAUUCUCCCCUCUACAAAAGCUAACAAAGACCUGGCCUAAUUAUGGGACAUUUCCCUUCUCUGGUGGCUAAUGGCAGCAGAGCAUGUGUGACAUUUUGCUCUCUUUCCUUUAUUCUUGCUUUUUAUCUACUGUUGCUAAAGGCUCCAGGCCGAGGCUGGUACAGAUGCCCAUCCCCCCUCCCGGAGUUCGGCCCUUCCACUCCUCACAGCCCCCCCUCCAUACUCAGAAAGAGAGAGCGUGUCCAACCCUCUGGGCCACUCCUAGGGAAAUGGGACUCGGGGGUGUCUGGGCUGGUCUUGGGCUCCAGAGGUAAACAGAGACCUGUGUCUCGCUCGCAUCAGCUCAGCUGAGGUCUCACAGAAGCCUUCCGUAUGUCCGUGUACCUCUCUGCUUCAGUUUCCCUAAACCUGUGCCAGGAAACAUCUGAUUCCCCCACGUUCUUCCUGCUGUAACACCAAGCCUGCAGGUGCGACAGAGAAGACAAAAAUGAGCCGCUCCCAAGGGCCUUCCUGCAGCAUCUUGCAGGAGAUCACAGGUAAGGGUCAGUGCAAGCCUCUCAGGACAGAGCAGAGCUGGGAGCCAGGGCAGUGCCAAGCCGGCAAGCUGGCAGCCAUCGCUUUCCAUGCUGCAGGCCUUCUGUGUGUGUGGAGGACACGGCUAUGAAAUAUGCUUCAUCAGCAUUGCAGAUGAAUCCUCCUCGUGAAACCCCAGUCAACAGCUUCCAGUUUGGUUUGGUUUUGUUUUUUGUGGGGACCACCUGCGCUUCCACGCCGUGCACAAACAGCCCCAGGGCAGGCCCAGAAGAUUGCCACUUACAUGACCUCCUGAGGCAAAGACUUGGCCUAGGCUUGCGACCUGAGCUGAGAUGCUGCAUUUCUUCUGGACGGAAGCAGAAGGAGGGAGAGUUUGCCCUCCUCAGCUCCCUACCUGCUGCACUGCGAGCCUGGGAAGGGCUCUUCCACCCAGCUGUCUCACAUGCCAAGGGCAGCUUCUGGGCUAGAGGAGGGGCAGGCAUGAAUCCCCCUCUUUGGAGCUUCCUGGCAAGAAGGGACUGGUUACCUUCCUCCAUUCCCAGCCAUUUCCUUGGAAAGCAGUGUCCUGAUUUAAAGGAGGCUGUCCCCCAAAGACCCAGACAUUUGAACACUUGGUCCUAGUUGAUGGUGCUGUUUAGGGAAAUGUAGGUGGUGCAGCCCUGCUGGAGGAAGUACGUCACUAGGGGAUGGGCUUUGAGAUCAAAAGCCUCGUACCACUUCCAGUUAACUCUGCUUCCUGCUUGUGGUUGAGAUGUGAGCUCUCGGUUUCCUGAUCCUGCCACAAAGCCAGCUGCAUAUUGCCUUGAUUCCCAGCCAUGAAGGACAGUAGUCAUGGUUCCUUCUGGGACUGUAAGCCCAAAGAAGCUCUUCUAUAAGUCAAGAUAUUUUAUCAUAGCAAUAGGAUUGUAACUAAGAUAAGGAGAAUCUUAGAAACCAGAUGCUGAACAAGAUUUCAGAGGCCAGAUCCAGGUCCUCUAGCAUGGACAGACAGCCUGAGGUCAGGGGGUGCUGGGCCCUGAACAACAGAAUGGGGUGGGGGAGCCUCAAGGUAAGUCUCAGUCAGUCAAGGGUUCUAGACACAAUGGCCGUGACCCCACCAUGGACCCCUCCUUCAAGUCCUCCACCCAUCUUGUGGGGAGGGAGUCCCUGUCCUACCUGGCACUUUUUUGGUGAGUAGUUGCCCUCAGCUGGGGCCUUGCUAUCCAAGGAGGACUUCUUAGGAAAAAGCAACGGACCAUCAGGGUGUCACUCAGUGGGAGAACACUUGCUGAUCAUGUAAGAGGCCUGGGUCCAUCUCCAUCUCUAGUGUAACCACCCCCUUCAAAAACAGACCAUGAAACUUUGCCCUUUGCAAGACAAUGGCAGUCCCCAUAGAGCGCAGUGACCAGGACAGCAGAUGCCACCUCUGAACUGCCAUUAUUUUCUGAGUUUGAAAAUGUGAGUGAACGAGGAAAAACGGAAAGAGAAAAAUAGGGGGACCCGAGAGCAGAAAGAAGCCCUUCCCUGGGACCUUUUAUGCUGGACUGAGGGUCAAGGAGCUUCUACACAACUGAAGGGAAGGACAGGGCUGCCUGCAGAGUGAGUGUGUGUGUGUGUGUGUGUGUGUGUGUGUGUGUGUGUGUGUGUGUGUGUUUGCUUGCCUGUGUGUAUGUGUGUGUUCUGUCUGUCUACAUGUCCAGAUACAUGUGUGCAAAUUCAUAGGCAUAUAUGUAGGUCUCACUAUACAGCCUUGGCUGGCCUUGAACUCACAGAGAUCCACCUGCUUCUGCCUCCCAGAUGUUGUUAUUAAAGGCAUGUGUCACCAUA